rnacentral:rRNA from 1 species
GAUGCGUUCCAUUAGUUAGUUGGCGGGGUAACGGCCCAACAAGACGACGAUGGAUAGGGGUUCUGAGAGGAAGGUCCCCCACAUUGGAACUGAGACACGGUCCAAACUCCUACGGGAGGCAGCAGUGAGGAAUAUUGGUCAAUGGACGAGAGUCUGAACCAGCCAAGUAGCGUGAAGGAUGACUGCCCUAUGGGUUGUAAACUUCUUUUAUAUGGGAAUAAAACAGGGUAUGCAUACCCUCUUGUAUGUACCAUAUGAAUAAGGAUCGGCUAACUCCGUGCCAGCAGCCGCGGUAAUACGGAGGAUCCGAGCGUUAUCCGGAUUUAUUGGGUUUAAAGGGAGCGUAGGUGGAUUGUUAAGUCAGUUGUGAAAGUUUGCGGCUCAACCGUAAAAUUGCAGUUGAAACUGGCAGUCUUGAGUACAGUAGAGGUGGGCGGAAUUCGUGGUGUAGCGGUGAAAUGCUUAGAUAUCACGAAGAACUCCGAUUGCGAAGGCAGCUCACUGGACUGCAACUGACACUGAUGCUCGAAAGUGUGGGUAUCAAACAGGAUUAGAUACCCUGGUAGUCCACACAGUAAACGAUGAAUACUCGCUGUUUGCGAUAUACAGUAA